rnacentral:rRNA from 1 species
UCUGCAACUCGACUACAUGAAGCUGGAAUCGCUAGUAAUCGCGGAUCAGAAUGCCGCGGUGAAUACGUUCCGGGUCUUGUACACACCGCCCGUCACACCAUGGGAGUCAGUAACGCCCGAAGCCGGUGACCCAACCUAACCAGGAGGGAGCCGUCGAAGGCGGGACGGAUGACUGGGGUGAAGUCGUAACAAGGUAAC